rnacentral:rRNA from 1 species
AUACGGGGGGAGCAAGCGUUGUCCGGAAUCAUUGGGCGUAAAGGGCACGUAGGCGGUUUCUUAAGUCGAAUGUGAAAUCUCACGGCUCAACCGUGAAACUGCGUUCGAAACUAAGUGACUUGAGUUUGGGAGAGGUGUACGGAAUUCCUGGUGUAGCGGUGGAAUGUGUAGAUAUCAGGAAGAACACCAAUGGCGAAGGCAGUACACUGGCCUGAAACUGACGCUGAGGUGCGAAAGCGUGGGGAGCAAACAGGAUUAGAUACCCGGGUAGUCC